GAGUGGGGGUCUUCCCCACCCCGGUGGUCUUUCAGUGUAUACACAAAUCCUGAGAAUGGAAAACAUCCCUCUGCCAGAUGUCAUUUCUUUUUGAACCCCUAGGGUUUCUACCAGCAGAGAAGGGAGUUUGUUUGGAGAACAUGUAGGACAUGUUUUCAUUAUUUCUUUGGCUUGUUGGCAAGGGAUGGAAAAUUUUUGCUUUAAACCUUUCCCAUUAACAUAAUGGUUUUCAUAAGAAUUUGAGAGUUCUAACACAUUUCCUAUUAGUAACUGGUCGAUUUUCUCAUUUCCUUGAGCUAAUGGACAAGGCAAACCUGUAUGAGACAGAAUAUGAGUAAUAUAUAAUAGAUAAUUUCUACGUCUGACAACCUGUUGCAAUUGUAUAAAUACCAAAGUUAACUGAGUCAUCAGGUACAAAUUCAGCAGUCUCUAUAUGCAAAAUAACUUUCUGCAUAUAAAGAAUCUGUAAUUACGUUAAGAGGUUCAGAAUACCUAAUACUACUAUACUGAUAGCAUACAAUUCUGAUUUUUGAAUCGAUGGAUAUGGACUUUUGACCACCGUGCUUAUUUUAUCUGACUUAUGACCUGCCAUUCCCAUCUUGUUUGCAUCAGUAUAAUAAGUUAUGCCUCUGGGAAUUGGGGUUCUCUUUAGAAUAAGUGGAAGAAUCCAGUUAGAUCUUUUUAUAAACUGUUUGUUUGUCUUUCAGUUAUUUAUUAUUAUUUUCACUCACAUAGUUGCUAUAAUCUCUUUGCCAAUCUUCAUUGAUCACCAAUAAUGACAUAAUCUCAGCAUCUAUAAGAGGUACUACAAUUUUGGCUGGAGGUGUUCCUGACAACUGACAUAAUCUUAUUCAACCUUUUAUAAUCAAUCCAGAAAUCUUUUCUGGAUAUGUCUUCAAUUUGUACUUUGUUUAUGAGCUAAGAAAAUACAUUCCAUAAUAUUUUCUUCCCUUUGCAUGAUGAGCCCAGUAGGUGAAUGACCAGAAUUCAAUAAAGUUUAGGAUCAAGUCGAUCUACAUAUGCCUCUUGCAAUCUUUGUUCUACAAGAGUUAAUUCUUUUUCUGCUUCAUCUGUUAGACAUCUUGGAGUGUUUAAAGUAGAAUCUCCUUGUAUUGUUUGAAACAAAUUACUUAACUCAUAUAUACUUAAUCCAAUUGUAGGCCUCAGCCUGUUAAUAUCUUCCAUUAAUUUUUGAAAAUCAUUGUGUUCGAAAUUGGUCUCUAUGGAUCUGUAUCUUUUGUUAUCAAAUUUUUGUUGACUGAUUUUAUUUAACCCAAGUAACUAAGUGAAUCUCCUCUUUGUAUUUUUCCAUUAUCAUCCUCAAUUUCUUGAUUUCUUUUUCUUUUUCUUUUUUUUUUUACAAUAAACGCAGAAAUUCCAGCUACUCUUGUAUCAGUUGUUGAAGGGCCUGCCAUUUUUCUUUUGUUAUGGACCCCUGCUCUUGCUAUUCAGGUCAGUUUGAUAACCAUUUUAAGGGCAAGGCUGUGGGUAUGUCAGCAGUCGCCCCUUUUAUAAAUGUGGAAAUUCAAUCCUUGUAUUAUCCUGGGUUUGGGUUACGAGAACAGCUUGUGGUUGUUCUUCAUCACCAGUAUCAAUAUCUUCCCCAGGAUCUACCAUAUUGCCCCUAAUUUCUUCACUUAAUAUCCCUGGAAUUGCAGGGAUAUUAACUUGAGUAUCCCAUUAUUGUAAAAGAUCUCUUCCCCAUAAGUUCAUGGGUAUUGCAGCCGCAUAAGAUCUCAACUUCCCUGUUUGCCCUUCUGGUCCCACACAGGUAUUCCAUUGGACACUUUGUCUUAUUCAUGAUAAUUUACCAAAUCCUCUAAAUGUGUUUAAACCUUCUGAAGUGGCCAAUCUGGAUUCCACGACUUUUGGGAAAGUGUACUAACAUCAGCUCCUGUAUCCACAAAUCCACGGAAGAAGUUCCUCUCAUGGUCAGGAUGCGUGUGACUGGUGGCAGAACACCUGGCGACACCCUCUGGGUGUCUGCGGGUGAGGCAGAGGUUCUUGCUUCUGUGUUCUGCUGCUAGGAACUUGCGAGACUCCUCCCCUCAACUCCGUAACCUGCAGUCUACCUCUCUUGACAAAGCGACACCGGAGUUUGCACAAAUCAUCUGCCUCGAAACUCCGUCAAUGAGAACCGACAAUGUAAAGCUGUGCGUUUUAGGCCCCAAACCUGAAGUUAAGACAACCGUGUGACCCAAGUGUGAUUUAUGCAGCGGCCUUGGUGACCUGAUCAAGUUCUCUAAUACCCGAAGUCUCCAGCAAAGCACUUGUAAAUGUACAUUUAAAAAAAAUGAAAAAAAGCUUUCGGAAUGGAAAACAACUACCAUAAAGCCGUAGGGAUCAAUACUGUGUGGUUUCUACUCAGGAAAAUCCACAGCUUGCCAAGAGGUGGAACCUUCCAAGGACAUCUCCGUACCCUAAGAAGUCGUGCACAGAUCGUACUUAAUGAAAGUACACUCCCACAAUUGUCCCUUCAAUUGGGGACUAGACAAAGAUUCCGGAACCCUCAAAGACCACCACGCAGUCUCAGACAUUGAGAUGAAGCCGUCUAUGUCCUGCUGGGUCCGCAGAGCAGUGGAGGAAGACCGGAGGCGGUGGAGACUAGGGACGCAGGUCCUGAGUUCAACUCCCAGCAACCACAUGGUGGC
rnacentral:sRNA from 1 species